CAAGAGAUUUGCAUCAGUUAAAGUUGAGCAAAGAAUUGAAUAGGACGCUAAAAUGUGGUAUAAGUAUAUACAUCUUCUAUUAAUUGUUUCGGUCUAUUUAUGUGCAUAUUAUGCAUACUAUCCAGAUUCUUCAGCACCAGAUUAUCCAUAUACAGGACUAGGAAUUGCAAUGCUUCGAA